UGUGGCUUUUCUUCUCCUCAAGAGAUUAAUUUAUAAUCUAGAUAUAGAAUGUUUUUCUGGGGGACAAGAGAUCUCCAUAACAAACUCCAGACUGCCAUGGCAUCAUCAGCAUUCAGGGAACCCUAAUUGCUGAAUUCUUUCUGGCUAGCAAGAGUUUAGGGGCUGCUGACUUCUAGACAAACCAGUGUUGUUUCUUUUUCUUUUUUUUUUUUUUUUGUUUGCUUGUUUUUGUUUUGAGACGAAGUCUCGCUCUGUCGCCAGGCUAGAAUGCAGUGGUGCAAUCUCGGCUCACUGCAACCUCCACCUCCCAGGUUCAAGCAAUUCUCUUGCCUCAGCCUCCUGAGUAGCUGGGACUACAGGCACGUGCCAUCAGGCCCAGCUAAUUUUUUUUUUGUUUUUUUUUGUUUUUUUUGUUUUUUGAGACAGAGUCUCGGGCUCUGUAGCCCAGGCUGGAGUGCAGUGGCGCCAUCUGGGCUCACUGAAAGCUCUGCCUCCCGGGUUCAUGCCAUUCUGCUGCCUCAGCCUCCCAAGUAGCUGGGACUACAGGUGCCCGCCACCACGCCUGGCUAAUUUUUUGUAUUUUUAGUAGAGACGGGGUUUCACCAUGUUAGCCAGGAUGUUCUCAAUCUCUUGACCUCGUGAUCUGCCCGCCUUGGCCUCCCAAAGUGCUGGGAUCACAGGCAUAAGCCACCACGCCCGGCCUAGACCAACCAGUGUUUCUUAAGCUUUAAUGUGCACUCAAAUUGCUUUGGGGGGGUCUUAUUAAAAUGCAGAUUCUGAUUUCUUAGGUCUGCAAUGGAGCCCAAGAAUCUGCAUUUCUAUGAAGUUCCAGGUGAUGCUGCUGCUGUGGUCUUCCUGUGUAGCACUCUACACAGCCUGAGAUAAAUGGAUGUCUGAGCCAGAUAGCUUCUGGACUGUCCAGCUAUUUCUUUGCAAACUCAAAAUACAUGAUAGUCAAGCAUGAAGUGAAGGUUCUACAGAGAUAUGCUGCUAAUGUGUAUGCUUUUAGUUUGUCAACAAAACAUGUUAUAUUGGUCACUUUCUGAUUUCUCUGUUAGGCUAUAAUCAGGAAAACUUGCUCAUUUAAGCACCAUCUAAAUGUCCACUAAUUGCUCAUUUUCACACACAAGUUCUAAAGGGAGUGGUGCUAUGUUCCAAGCUUUCCAUCAUAUAUAAAUAAAGGAUUUUUUUCUUUUACAAGAUACAUCUUCAAGAAAACGUACCCUCUGUUGUCCCUCGUAUCAGCCUUAUCACAAAUGCAGUGUGUACUAGCUGCUGUCACAUCCCUGAAUGAGGCACCCAAGGCAAUCAAUUCAUUCUCCAUUCUGUCUCCCAAAAUCCUCAGGUGACUAGAAAGAUACUUACUGAGAAAAAGAAGGUACUGGCUCCCCUGCUACCCAGAAAACAUCAGUCUCUGGUGUGAAGAAGAGACUCAAGCUCA
rnacentral:lncRNA from 10 species